UGAAAUGAGGAAACCAAUCACUCAAGUUCAUCUCAAACCCACCAUAGUUGUUGUUGAGUAUAGUGAUAAAAGAGAAAUCAACUAAGAUGAGUGGUGGGAAGGGUUCGGUCUUUUUGGCUAUAUUGCUCUUCUUUUUCCUUGUCUCCUCCGAGCUGGGUGCAGCCAGGAAGCUAAUGGUGGCCGGAAACAAUGCAGCGAUCAUACAUGAAGGCCGCACCACUUUCGUCACCUCCCCGCACACAAAACCCCAACAAACCUGUUUGCGAUCGCCCAGGUCGUUAUAGUGAUUGCUUCCGACGGCCAGCCCCACCCGCAGUCUGCAAUUUUUAUUCACGAAAUUGCCUUCCGAAGAACUGAAGUGCACACUAAGAUCAAACACCAUGGGAACUAAAUAAACUAACCCACACCUACCUGGGUUUUAAUAACUAAUUG